GUGAGGUGGUGACUAGUGACAGAGUGAGGGAAGGGGUGACUAGUGGCAGAGUGAGGGAAGGAAGGGGUGACUAGUGACAGAGUGAGGAAGGGUGUGACUAGUGACAGAGUGAAGGAGGUGGUGACUGUCACUAGUCACCCCAUCGCUCCCUCUGUCACUAGUCACCCCUUCCCUCCCUCACUCUGUCACUAGUCCCCCCUCCCUCUCUCUGUCACUAGUUCCACCCUCCCUCACUUUGUCACUAGUCACUAGUCCCCCCUCCCUCUCUCUGUCACUAGUUCCACCCUCCCUCAC